CUGGAGGAGUCUGCCUUGUGAAGUGGUUGAGGCAUUUGCCAAUUACGAUGAUGCUGUACGGGGCCUCAGAAAAGCUGAAGACAACUCAGACAUCGCAAGUGCAAGUGAACGUGGCAGAGGAAAAAGGAAAAAGAAAAGAAGGCUCUACAGUGACGAAGACGAGAUGCCAGUCCCGCAGCCACCACAGUCUAUGCAGAAAAGAGCAACACAUGGUAUUGCAGAAAGAUCUGCAAGGAUGGAACCGUCAAGUAUUUCGACUGUUUCACAGCACUCGGCAUAUA